rnacentral:rRNA from 1 species
GGAUCCAGACUUUGAUCAUGGCUCAGGAUGAACGCUAGCUACAGGCUCAACACAUGCAAGUCGAGGGGAAACGAUAUUGGAAGCUUGCUUCCGAUAGGCGUCGACCGGCGCACGGGUGAGUAACGCGUAUCCAACCUGCCCAUCACUUGGGGAUAACCUUGCGAAAGUAAGACUAAUACCCAAUGAUAUCUCUAGAAGACAUCUGAAGGAGAUUAAAGAUUCAUCGGUGAUGGAUGGGGAUGCGUCUGAUUAGCUUGUUGGCGGGGUAACGGCCCACCAAGGCGACGAUCAGUAGGGGUUCUGAGAGGAAGGUCCCCCACAUUGGAACUGAGACACGGUCCAAACUCCUACGGGAGGCAGCAGUGAGGAAUAUUGGUCAAUGGGCGAGAGCCUGAACCAGCCAAGUAGCGUGCAGGAUGACGGCCCUAUGGGUUGUAAACUGCUUUUAUAAGGGAAUAAAGUGAGCCUCGUGGGGCUUUUUGCAUGUACCUUAUGAAUAAGGACCGGCUAAUUCCGUGCCAGCAGCCGCGGUAAUACGGAAGGUCCGGGCGUUAUCCGGAUUUAUUGGGUUUAAAGGGAGCGUAGGCCGGAGAUUAAGCGUGUUGCGAAAUGUAGAUGCUCAACAUCUGCACUGCAGCGCGAACUGGUUUCCUUGAGUACGCACAAAGUGGGCGGAAUUCGUGGUGUAGCGGUGAAAUGCUUAGAUAUCACGAAGAACUCCGAUUGCGAAGGCAGCUCACUGGAGCGCAACUGACGCUGAAGCUCGAAAGUGCGGGUAUCGAACAGGAUUAGAUACCCUGGUAGUCCGCACGGUAAACGAUGGAUGCCCGCUGUUGGUCUGAAUAGGCCAGCGGCCAAGCGAAAGCAUUAAGCAUCCCACCUGGGGAGUACGCCGGCAGCGGUGCAACUCAAAUGAAUUGACGG